rnacentral:rRNA from 1 species
GGGUUGUGAGGUUAAGCGACUAAGCGUACACGGUGGAUGCCCUGGCAGUCAGAGGCGAUGAAGGACGUGCUAAUCUGCGAUAAGCGCCGGUAAGGUGAUAUGAACCGUUAUAACCGGCGAUUUCCGAAUGGGGAAACCCAGUGUGACUCGUCACACUAUCAUUAACUGAAUCCAUAGGUUAAUGAGGCGAACCGGGGGAACUGAAACAUCUAAGUACCCCGAGGAAAAGAAAUCAACCGAGAUUCCCCCAGUAGCGGCGAGCGAACGGGGAGGAGCCCAGAGCCUGAAUCAGCAUGUGUGUUAGUGGAAGCGUCUGGAAAGGC